rnacentral:rRNA from 1 species
GACGAACGCUGGCGGCGUGCCUAAUACAUGCAAGUCGAGCGAGCGGAACUAACAGAUUUACUUCGGUAAUGACGUUAGGACAGCGAGCGGCGGAUGGGUGAGUAACACGUGGGGAACCUGCCCCAUAGUCUGGGAUACCACUUGGAAACAGGUGCUAAUACCGGAUAAGAAAGCAGAUCGCAUGAUCAGCUUUUAAAAGGCGGCGUAAGCUGUCGCUAUGGGAUGGCCCCGCGGUGCAUUAGCUAGUUGGUAAGGUAAAGGCUUACCAAGGCGAUGAUGCAUAGCCGAGUUGAGAGACUGAUCGGCCACAUUGGGACUGAGACACGGCCCAAACUCCUACGGGAGGCAGCAGUAGGGAAUCUUCCACAAUGGACGCAAGUCUGAUGGAGCAACGCCGCGUGAGUGAAGAAGGUUUUCGGAUCGUAAAGCUCUGUUGUUGGUGAAGAAGGAUAGAGGUAGUAACUGGCCUUUAUUUGACGGUAAUCAACCAGAAAGUCACGGCUAACUACGUG